rnacentral:lncRNA from 1 species
AUGUGGAACUACAGGAUCAGUGUGUUUAUAUAUGUGGAGAUACAGGAUCAGUGUGGUUAUAUAUGUGUAGGAUCACAGUGGUUAUAUAUGUGGAGGAUCACAGUGUGUUUAUAUAUGUGGAGAUACAGGAUCAGUGUGGUUAUAUAUGUGGAGAUACAGGAUCAGUGUGUUUAUAUAUGUGGAGGAUCACAGUGUGUUUGUAUGUGGAGAUACAGGAUCAGUGUGGUUAUAUAUGUGGAGAUACAGGAUCAGUGUGUUUAUAUAUGUGGAGGAUCACAGUGUGUUUGUAUGUGGAGAUACAGGAUCACAGUGUGGUUAUAUAUGUGGAGGAUCACAGUGUGGUUAUAUAUGUGGAGAUACAGGAUCAGUGUGUUUAUAUAUGUGGAGGAUCACAGUGUGUUUAUAUAUGUGGAGAUACAGGAUCACAGUGUGGUUAUAUAUGUGGAGAUACAGGAUCAGUGUGGUUAUAUAUGUGGAGGAUCACAGUGUGUUUAUAUAUGUGGAGAUACAGGAUCACAGUGUGGUUAUAUAUGUGGAGGAUCACAGUGUGGUUAUAUAUGUGGAGGAUCACAGUGUGGUUAUAUAUGUGGAGGAUCACAGUGUGGUUAUAUAUGUGGAGAUACAGGAUCAGUGUGGUUAUAUAUGUGGAGGAUCACAGUGUGGUUAUAUAUGUGGAGGAUCACAGUGUGUUUAUAUAUGUGGAGAUACAGGAUCACAGUGGUUAUAUAUGUGGAGGAUCACAGUGUGGUUAUAUAUGUGGAGGAUCACAGUGUGGUUAUAUAUGUGGAGGAUCACAGUGUGUUUAUAUAUGUGGAGAUACAGGAUCACAGUGUGGUUAUAUAUGUGGAGGAUCACAGUGUAGUUAUAUAUGUGGAGGAUCACAGUGUGUUUAUAUAUGUGGAGAUACAGGAUCAGUGUGGUUAUAUAUGUGUAGGAUCACAGUGUGGUUAUGUAUGUGAAGGAUCACAGUGUGUUUAUAUAUGUGGAGAUACAGGAUCACAGUGUGGUUAUAUAUGUGGAGGAUCACAGUGUGUUUAUAUAUGUGGAGAUACAGGAUCACAGUGUGGUUAUAUAUGUGGAGGAUCACAGUGUGUUUAUAUAUGUGGAGAUACAGGAUCACAGUGUGGUUAUAUAUGUGGAGGAUCACAGUGUGGUUAUAUAUGUGGAGGAUCACAGUGUGUUUAUAUAUGUGGAGAUACAGGAUCAGUGUGGUUAUAUAUGUGGAGAUACAGGAUCAGUGUGGUUAUAUAUAUGUAGGAUCACAGUGUGGUUAUGUAUGUGGAGGAUCAGUGUGGUUUUAUAUGUGGAGAUACAGGAUCAGUGUGGUUAUAUAUGUGGAGGAUCACAGUGUGUUUAUAUAUGUGUAGGAUCACAGUGUGUUUAUAUAUGUGGAGGUACAGGAUCACAGUGUGUUUAUAUAUUUAUUUAUGC